rnacentral:rRNA from 1 species
GACGAACGCUGGCGGCGUGCUUAACACAUGCAAGUCGAACGGUGAAGCACCUUCCUUUUGGUGUGUGUGGAUGAGCGGCGAACGGGUGAGUAACACGUGAGUAACCUUCCCCCUUCUUCUGGAUUACCGCAUGAAAGUGUGGCUAAUACGGGAUAUUCUGGGUCUGUUGCAUGGCUGGCCUGGGACAGAUAUUGUUUCGGUGGGGGAUGGGCUCGCGGUCUAUCAGCUUGUUGGUGGGGUGAUGGCCUACCAAGGCGGUGACGGGUAGCCGGCCUGAGAGGGUGGACGAUCACAGUGGGGCGGAGCCGCGGCCAAGCCUCCUACGGGAGGCAGCAGUGAGGAAUAUUGAACAGUGGGCGCAAGGAUGGUGCAGCGACGCCGCGGGCGGGAUGGAGGCCUUCGGGUUGUAAACCUCUUUCGCCAGUGAAGCAGGCCUGUCCCUUUUGUGGGUGGGUUGACGGUAGCUGGACAAGAAGCGCCGGCUAACUACGUG